rnacentral:rRNA from 1 species
AUGGAUGAUUUUGUGUCAUGGCACCAUAAUAGAAGUGGAAUAUUUUCGGUUAGAUCGACAUACCAUGAAGAGUGGGAGCAUCAACACGAACGAAAGUUGAGGAUGACUAACUCUAUACAAGCCUCAAGUACUAGUCCAGAUUGGCGUACCAUUUUGAAAUUGUGUGUGCCGACAAAAAUCAAAAUUCAUAUAUGGAAAACUUUGCUUGGCGCCAUCCCUUGUAAUGGAGUCCUUGCUAACAGGCAUAUGAUCACAAGCUCUCAAUGUCCUCUCUGCACUUCGGAUUGUGAGAGUAUUAGACAUGUCAUGUUCUUGUGCCCUAGAGUUCAAGAAAUCUGGAGGAUAUUGGGACUGCAAGAUGUGGUUGGAGGUGUGUGUGCGCUGGAGAGGGAUGGCGGAUCGGUGCUGGCUGACCUUUUUCUAUCAACGAACAAUACCAUGGCUCAUAUGACUGAUGUUCAACGCAAUGACCUUGUGGCCACUACAGUGUGGGCAAAGUCGAAGCAAGCGAAACUGAGAAGAUAUGGAUGGAGUAAGCCACCAGAGGGAGUUCUCAAACUUAACAUCGAUGCCACUUUUGAUCCUGAUAGGGGAACAGGGGGCACGGGUGCAAUCUUACAAGACGAAGCUGGUUUCUUCAUCACAGCUUCAUGCAGUAAUAUCCCUUUUGGGGAAGACGCGGCGACGGCAGAAGCUAGAGGUAUGCGAGAUGGGCUCUUACUCGCAAAUGAAGUUGUGUGCAAUAAAAUUUGCGUCGAGUCCAAUUGCAUGGAGGUCGUCGAAGUCAUGCAAGGGGGUGGUAAUUCGCUAGGCCCGGCAGCCGCAAUUUAUGAAGAAUGUUCUUUUCUUGCUAGAAAUUUUAUUUCUAUUAUGUUUUCCCACUGCCAUAGGGAGGCCAAUGCGGCGGCAAAUUUAUCGGCUACAAACUCGGAGUUCUCUCAUACAAUUGUUUGGAAAUCGGAGCCUCCGGGGUUUCUAGUAGAUGUAUUAACAAACGAUGUAUCAUUUUUUGCGCAUGAAAUAUAA